rnacentral:lncRNA from 1 species
AGAGGUUGGUUUAAACGCCGACCGUCGCAGGUCUGAGUUCUGCUCGGCCACACUGCAGAUCUCCAUGAGCGCCAUGGCAGAAUUGUAUUGCACCUCGCCUUCACCCUUUUCAAGAAGAACCGCAAAGCAGAGAAGAGCCCUUGACUCGGUGAUGCUCUUGCAGAUAGCGGCAUUUCCCUUGGCGAGGUGCCACAGAGCCUUGGCGGCAUUUGCCUUCAUGUAUGCCUUGGUCUCGGGGUCCUCGAACUCCCUGCCCCUUGUAGUCAUCCCUGACAGCGAUGCAUUAUGCUGCUUUGACGCGAUAGCACCACCGCCGUUACUGCCCUUGCUGCUGC